CCCGCACAAGCGGUGGAUGAUGUGGAUUAAUUCGAUGCAACGCGAAGAACCUUACUACCCUUGACAUGUCCGGAACUUGCCAGAGAUGGCUUGGUGCCCGAAAGGGAAUCGGAACACAGGUGCUGCAUGGCUGUCGUCAGCUCGUGUCGUGAGAUGUUGGGUUAAGUCCCGCAACGAGCGCAACCCUUAUCAUUAGUUGCUACGCAAGGGCACUCUAAUGAGACUGCCGGUGACAAACCGGAGGAAGGUGGGGAUGACGUCAAGUCCUCAUGGCCCUUAUGGGUAGGGCUUCACACGUCAUACAAUGGUCGGUACAGAGGGUUGCCAAGCCGCGAGGCGGAGCCAAUCCCACAAAGCCGAUCGUAGUCCGGAUUGCAGUCUGCAACUCGACUGCAUGAAGUCGGAAUCGCUAGUAAUCGCGGAUCAGCAUGUCGCGGUGAAUACGUUCCCGGGCCUU
rnacentral:rRNA from 1 species